rnacentral:rRNA from 1 species
AGAGUUUGAUCAUGGCUCAGGACGAACGCUGGCGGCGUGCUUAACACAUGCAAGUCGAACGGAAAGGCCCUUCGGGGUACUCGAGUGGCGAACGGGUGAGUAACACGUGGGUGAUCUGCCCUGCACUUUGGGAUAAGCCUGGGAAACUGGGUCUAAUACCGAAUAGGACCGCGCUCUUCAUGGGGUGUGGUGGAGAGCUUUUGCGGUGUGGGAUGGGCCCGCGGCCUAUCAGCUUGUUGGUGGGGUAAUGGCCUACCAAGGCGACGACGGGUAGCCGGCCUGAGAGGGUGACCGGCCACACUGGGACUGAGAUACGGCCCAGACUCCUACGGGAGGCAGCAGUGGGGAAUAUUGCACAAUGGGCGCAAGCCUGAUGCAGCGACGCCGCGUGAGGGAUGACGGCCUUCGGGUUGUAAACCUCUUUCAAUAGGGACGAAGCGCAAGUGACGGUACCUAUAGAAGAAGGACCGGCCAACUACGUGCCAGCAGCCGCGGUAAUACGUAGGGUCCGAGCGUUGUCCGGAAUUACUGGGCGUAAAGAGCUCGUAGGUGGUUUGUCACGUUGUCCGUGAAAACUCACAGCUUAACUGUGGGCGUGCGGGCGAUACGGGCAGACUGGAGUACUGUAGGGGAGACUGGAAUUCCUGGUGUAGCGGUGGAAUGCGCAGAUAUCAGGAGGAACACCGGUGGCGAAGGCGGGUCUCUGGGCAGUAACUGACGCUGAGGAGCGAAAGCGUGGGGAGCGAACAGGAUUAGAUACCCUGGUAGUCCAA